ACUACCCUGGAGUGCGCGUGACGGUCGCCGUCGCUGGCCUCACAAGCAUUUAUUAAGGGAAUUGCCGGUGAACCGGUGUGCAUGCCCGACCUACUCGCAAGAGUAUGCCAUCGGGAAGCCUUAAGGUUCUCCAAAUCUUCCCGCCGUAGGCAUAGAAGGUCCUGCGGGAGGGCUCCGCACGGCUUCUCCGGGGUGUCU
rnacentral:other from 1 species